AUUGAACGCUGGCGGCAGGCCUAACACAUGCAAGUCGAACGAGUGGCGGACGGGUGAGUAAUGUCUGGGAAACUCCCUGAUGGAGGGGGAUAACUACUGGAACCGGUAGCUAAUACCGCCUACCAUCCUAUGUGCCCAGAUGGGAUUAGCUAGUAGGUGGGGUAAAGGCUCACCUUGGCCACGAUCCCUACCUGGUAUGAGAGGAUGACCAGCCACACUGGAACGGAGACACGGUCCAGACUCCGACGGGAGGCAGCAGUGUGGAAUAUUGCACAAUGGGCGCAAGCCUGAUGCAGCCAUGCCGCGUGUAUGAAGAAGGCCUUCGGGUUGUAAAGUACUUUCAGCGGGGAGGCGUUACCCGCAGAAGAAGCACCGGCUAACUACGUGCCAGCAGCCGCGGUAAUUC
rnacentral:rRNA from 1 species